AUAAUAUAUAAUUGACAGCAAGAAGAUCAUUUACCUGAUCACUGUGAAAUCUGAUAGUGCUACCAAUAAAACAGCAAAAUGCGAGAUAUAGAUCAAUUAGGAAGGAUCCUGCAAUCAACAAUAAACCCAAUAUUCAUUAUAUAUAACUAACCAAAAACCAAGAAGACAUUAUCUUGACAAAAAGAUAACUACACUUACGAAAUAUCUUAAUGACAUGCUAAUAUGAAUGUUUCAAUUAAUGAGUCCAUAAAGCUUACACCUAGUGUACAUACUCUUAACCAGGAGACCCUAAACUCCUAAAAAAAAUUUCUUUUUUUUUGUCAAAAGAAGUUCUAUUUCUUUUUCUUUGUCCUAAAAUUCCAAGUUGUAGAAUAGGCAUGCAUACAGAACCAAAUAGCAAAAAAAGAGACCUAAAUCUUUCGCCAUCCAGAAUAAUAUAGUUAGUUCCCUGAUUCUUAGCACCAAACACUGAAAUAGCAAAGCCAGUUAACUGAUUUGGGAAAAAAAAAUACUGAAAAGAAAUCGACUAUCUUCUAGAUCAAAAGCAAUUCUCAACAGUCAUCUUCUAAAUCAUGAUUCAAAAACACAAUGAACAACCACAAAGGAUUAGGCACAUACCUUAUAUACAAACUUCAAAUACCCAAAGAUCACUGAUUGUGAAUCUAUCAAAAACAAAAAAUUCUGAUUAGUAUUCGGAAUUUAUACUUCAAACAAUACCCAUCGUAAUAAAACAUACAAAACCCAAAGUUGCAAAAUACUGAUAUGGAAUCUCAAAUCUACUUAUGGAAAACUGCUGAAGUCCAAAAGAUUUUAUAAACGAACAUAGUGAUAAUAGUUUGCCUAAUCAAUGCUUGCUUUUGGUAAAUCGAAAAUAAAAUCCAAUCAUGCAACUUCUUUGACAAAAAAAGGGUUUGGAAACACUAAAAGAAACUCGUAUCGUAUCGAGUAAACUCAUAUCAUAUCAUACAGCCUUCAGACAAAAACCAAAAAAUACCCAUAGCAUCAACCCAACAUUCAAAUACUGUGAUUUUGAAAACCAUUUAAAUACACAGAAAUAAAACUUGUCAAGCAUACCUGAUUUGAAUGAUGUAGACUGACUGUAACAUCAACCAUAAGUUGCAAUUUGCAAAGGGACUAUAGGCAGCCAAGUUACUCAAAGCUUGUGAUCUAUAUUUUGCGAUCAUAUCAUAUAUACUACUGCUUUCAUAUAUAAUUCCUACUGGCAGCUAUUCCACCUCAUAAAUUCAAUUGGGAAUGAAGAGUUUAUAAUGAUCCCAAUAUAAAAGACUCGUUGGGAUAUAAAAUAGAGAUAAGUAUUAUAGAUAUAUUUGCUAUAUUAAGUAAAAAUUGGCUUCUUUUACGAAUAUGUAAUCUAUUGGUUCUAUUAAAUUAUGUAAUCCCAACAAACGCACUGACUGACAAUAACUAUUACUUUCCUUUUACAGGUGAGAACAUAUUCAAGGGAAGAAGUCUGAACAAUAAGAGAGAUCAUUCAUAAUGUCAUUUUUUUUAGCGCAUGACAUGCCCUGACCAAUACAAACCAAAUAUAGUCUUCAAUUGAUUAAUCCUAGCACCAAAUUGAAUCAACUUUCUAAUCGAAUAAGCUACAUGUGUCAGGUAUUAAUAAAUUUUUUUGUUUCAUUCAAAAAAAAAAAAAAGCUACAUAUUUGGCCGACUUCCGAAACUGACCAAGCAGCUGGCAAGUAACUAUUGAUAGAUUUCUGUCCAAAAUCAUGCUGUCCCAGCUAUAUCUCACAGGACUAAAGCACAACCCAAAAUAGUAACACUCCUCCCAUUUUUAUUAUGUGUUUCAACAAUUGAUAAUUAACCAAAAGAAAACGUGUUUAUAGUUCCUAUGUAGAUAAUUAACAUGCUUCCAUGCUUCCAUUUUUAUUAUGUGUUGCAAAUUCAUAUGCAGUAGAAAGUACAAACCCAUAAGCAACUGGAGAUAACCAACAACUCUAUCAAAGGUGGAGAGGAUUUGCAACUCCUACUGAUUAUAUUGCUAAAAUCAAAACUCAAACAAAAUUCAAUUAGAAGAGAAUGGAUUUAGAAAUCUAAACACAAACACAUAACCCAACAUCAAAAACCCAAAACCACUUUCUUCUCCUGCCAUUGACGAACCCAACACCAGAAUCCUAAAACCCCAAAAUCAGUCUACAUCAUUCAAUCCCAGAACGCAGAAACAAAAUCCUAUAUUGUGCUUAGAAAUCUAAACACAAACACAGAACCCAAUAUUAGAAACCAAAAUCACUUUCUUCUCCUGCCUUUGACAAACCCAACAUAAGAAUCCUAAAACCCCAAAUCAGUCUACAUCAUUCAAUCCCAGAACGCAGAAACGACAAAU
rnacentral:lncRNA from 1 species